UGUAACCGUAGUAACAGGAUAGACAUAACAGAAUAGACAAAUUUCUUCAACUAUGAAUGCUGUUGUGAAAGAACUACUCAUUCUGAUGCAGUGAUAAGGUUUCUCUGUUGUGAUUUGGGUUUUCAUCACGUUAUUGCACUUUUUACAAGUAUAAUAUUGUUGGAAUUAAUAAAUUUGUUGGUAACAGCAUAGACGUGAGAUAAGGGUAACCACUAAUGAUUUUCAUAAAAUGUCUUAAAUUUUCUUUUCUCUAGACUGUUAGAAACGUGGUGCGUUAACUUUUUAGGACCCUUCGUAGUUUUGAAAUCAUCGAUGAAUAGUUCUAUAUUCAUAAAGGGGGGGGAUUUAACUGUUGAUCUAGUGUCGGUAACAGGAUGUACGCUGAGUUUAUAAAGAACACAUGUUACAUAUACUAAUAAAGAAGCUGUGAUUUUUAGUUAGAGUUAUCUUUUAUACUCCAAAAUAAUCCGUUGCAGAUAUCAAUGCAAACAGAAAAUAGGAAAAAAAUCAUUUGUAAUGUGUUACCCUGACACUGUACGCACAUAAAUUACGCAAAAAUCGGACUUAAAUAUAUUUUAAUCUGAUCAAAAUAGAUAUAAUAAAUCGUAUUCAUUAUUGAUUUUCCGACUCAUAAAUCCUGUUAACCUAUAUCUAAACACUUACAUCUGCAUUUGUCCAUGAAAAAUUAAAAAAAAAAAAACAUAUAAAAGAAGGUGUACUGAAAAUUCAACAUUUUUUUAAAACGUCCCAAAUACGUAUGUGACCCAUCAUGCAUGGUACAGGUAGAAAAAUACCUGGAACAGUCGCAUUUUAUCAUAUUGGACUUUCAAUUUGAUAGACCAAAACUACAAAAUUAAGUACAGAAAAGGAUAGUGAAACUGCAAUUUUCUUGUAGAAUUUGCGCAUAUCAGUCAGAUCUUCAAUAUUUCCACGACAAUGGCGACACCAUCAGCAAAACAUGCAACUUUUACAAGUAAAUCUAUUAAAGGUGUUGGAGUUGAAGAUGUACCAGGAAUCGGUGAUAAAUCAAAAGAAAGACUCAGUAAAGAGGAAAUCACUAAAGCACAACAGCUUUUGGGCCAUUUCCUAAUACGUAAUAUGGACAAAGAAAAGUGCAAAAACUUUCUUCAGAAAUUCGGAAUGAACGAAAAGCAACAGACUGAUGCAUUCAACGCUUUAAAUGAGUGGGCCGAACAGCAUCUUUAGAAACGAAAAGUAUAGACAUAUCACAAACCAUUUAAUUUUCUUAUCAUUCACCAAUAAAUAGAUAAAUGUUUA